UUCACAUCUUCGUUUCUGAGUCCAUCAAAUUUUCUGUUAAAUUUCUUCCUUCAUCUGAAGUGUAAAAUGGGUCGUCUCUAGAAGACCAACUUGGCUACCAAAUAACCAACUACCAAGAGCUAGGCGACCAAAAUUUGAAGCAAACAAACUUAACUUGGUUUGUUUUGAUACGAGUAUUAUGCAAUGCUUCUUCGAAAAUAACGAAUUUCAGGGCUUAUUUGUUUACAAGCAUAGUUGGGCUACUACUUACUACCUACGACCGGGAAUGUAAACAGAUCUCGCCUAGUGCGGGAUUAUGCUAGAAGCAGUUCUAUUUGACACUCGAAGCUGGUAACGUUGCUAGUCGAAUCGGCCCUGCAGGUAAGCUAAAUUUAAUGCAACUAGAAACCUAGCGGUACAGGUGCCAGCUUCACUGCUUAUCAACGAGCACAGGCUAAUUCAUGUCAGUCUAAUAACGAUACCCGAAGAGCUACAGCGUGUUGAGAGCUCGCGCGAUACUAUCCUAACCUCCUUUUUUCGGUAAUUCCGCAGUUCAACUCGUACUCUUUUGAAGAUUCAUCAAGCGAUUUCGCACCGAUUACUCCUGCUCAGAUAUCCUCUUAGUUUGUUCUUUUUAGACCAAAAUAUUGGAUAUCAUUUCUACUCCACGUGCUCGGAAAGUAUGAUUUCUUCGCCAAUGGACGAUGCGGAUGACAAUUUAGGAUCAACCCGGACCAAUUCAAACUCAAAGACUUAAACGAAAUUUCACGACUUUUCGAAAGAACUCCAAAAUAAGGACCAUUCCGACCACUUUCAACCAUAUCGGGAAGUGCAUAUGACGUCGAGCAGAUUUGGCGACACCGUUUGGAAAAACAGGCCACGUGGAACCACACUUUGAAGUUUACGUGAUGAAGGAAUAGUUGCAGCCACUUAAAAACAAGACGGAAAGGCGGGUCGUGUUAGAUUUAUUGUUGACUGAGUUCGGCAAACGGCACACGAGACAGCGAAACCUAUUCAGUAUCACACAAGGGAUGGACCCCCUUCAAACACGCCAAAAACGUCUCCAAGUAACCCACAUGUGCGCUGAAGGAACAACUGAAGGAAUCGGAUAUAAUGAAUGAAGUAAUCAACUCCAAUCCUUUUCUUCAUUUCGGAGGACGUUCAAAAAGGCAUUGGUUUUAUGACGGAUUUCAGAAGCUUCUUGAGGGAUUUGGUCAUACAUCUGAGCUGGACGGAUGGGCAGCCACCAGCUUAUUUCUAGAUGGAACAUCCAUUCAAAAUUUCGACUGCUGACGGAGAAACCUGCGAAAUUCACUUAGCAACAACUCGAUCGGCUGUUUCUGGUACUUCCAAAUCCUGAUUACGGACUGCUUAACGGAUCAGUAAUCUACGAGCACUGUCUAGUUCAUGUCAGUCAGUCUAAGACCGAUUCCUGAAGAGUUACAGCGUGUUGAGAGCUCCCGCGACACAAUCAUAACCUCUCUUGUUCAGUAAUUCCGCAGUUCAACUCGUACUCCUUUGAAGAUUCAUCAAGCGAUUUCGCACCGAUUGCUCCUGUUCAGAUAUCUUCUUAGUUUGUUCUUUUCAGCCAAAAGUAUUGGGCAUCAUUUCUAUCCCACCUGUUCGGAAAGUAUCAUUUCUUCGCCAGGGCACGAACGUGGAUCACAAUUUGAGAUCAACCCGGACCCAUUUGAAACUCAGUGACUUAGUGGAAAUUUUACGACUUUUCGAAAAAAACUGCGAGAUAAGGACCAUUCCGUCCAAUCCAACAAUAUCGGGAAAACAAGAAGGAAAAGCGGGUCGUGUUAGUUUAUUGUUGACUGGAUACGGCAAACGGCACACGAGACAGCGAAACCUAUCCGUAACCACUCAUGGUCAAGAAGAAAUUUGUGAAGGGAUGGAUCCUUUCCGAGCACGGCAAAAACGUCUCCAAGCAACUCACAUGUGUGCUGAAGGAACAACUGAAGGAAUCAGAUGCAAUGGAUGAAGGACCCAAUUCGCGGAGGACGUUUAAGAAGGUGUUGGUUUCAUGGUGGAUUUCAAGAGCUUCCAAACGGAUUUGGUCAUACAUCGUAGCUGAACGGCGGCUACCAGCUUGUUCUAGAUGGCACAUCGAUUCAAAAAUUUGGAAUCCUUUAACCAAAGCAGGACGCGCGGGGAAACCUGCCAAAUUCACCUAGCAACAACUCGAGCGACUGUUUCUGGUGCUUCAAAAUCCUGAUUACGAACUGCUCAACGGAUCAAAUAGUUCAUAUUUGUAGAAACCUUAUUUGUUUUGUGUUUUUCUCCAUUUGAUGUAAUCUCUGAAUUUGGUUUUGAAUAAAUUUGA